rnacentral:rRNA from 1 species
CACGUAGGGGGCGAGCGUUGUCCGGAUUUAUUGCGCGUAAAGAGCUCGUAGGCGGCUCAGUAAGUCGGGUGUGAAAACUCCAGGCUCAACCUGGAGACGCCACCUGAUACUGCUGUGGCUAGAGUCCGGUAGGGGAGCAUGGAAUUCCUGGUGUAGCGGUGAAAUGCGCAGAUAUCAGGAGGAACACCAGUGGCGAAGGCGGUGCUCUGGGCCUUACCUGACGCUGAGGAGCGAAAGCGUGGGGAGCGAACAGG